rnacentral:rRNA from 1 species
UACGGAGGGUGCAAGCGUUAUCCGGAUUCACUGGGUUUAAAGGGUGCGUAGGCGGAUAUGUAAGUCAGUGGUGAAAUACUCCAGCUUAACUGGAGGGGUGCCAUUGAUACUGCAGGGCUUGAGUGGAGUCGAAGUAGGCGGAAUUGACGGUGUAGCGGUGAAAUGCUUAGAUAUCGUCAAGAACACCGAUAGUGAAGACAGUUUACUAGGCUUCUACUGACGCUGAGGCACGAAAGUGUGGGGAUCAAACAGG